AGAGGUGCCAAGCGUUAGGCGGAAUCACUGGGCUUAAAGCGUGUGUAGGCGGAUCGUUAAGUACCUUGCGAAAUCCCACGGCUCAACCGUGGAACUGCUGGGUAUACUGGCGGUCUUGAGCCACCUAGGGGCAACUGGAACAAGCGGUGGAGCGGUGAAAUGCGUAGAUAUCGCUUGGAACGCCAACGGUGAAAACAGGUUGCUGGGGGUGUGCUGACGCUGAGACACGAAAGCCAGGGGAGCGAACGGGAUUAGAUACCCCGGUAGUCCUGGCCCUAAACGAUGUCGACUAGAUCGUAGUGCCUCUGACGGUAUUACGGUCGAAGCAAAAGUGCUAAGUCGACCGCCUGGGAAGUACGGUCGCAAGGCUA
rnacentral:rRNA from 1 species